rnacentral:rRNA from 1 species
GACGAACGCUGGCGGCGUGCUUAACACAUGCAAGUCGAACGGAAAGGCCCUGCUUUUGUGGGGUGCUCGAGUGGCGAACGGGUGAGUAACACGUGAGUAACCUGCCCUUGACUUUGGGAUAACUUCAGGAAACUGGGGCUAAUACCGGAUAGGAGCUCCUGCUGCAUGGUGGGGGUUGGAAAGUUUCGGCGGUUGGGGAUGGACUCGCGGCUUAUCAGCUUGUUGGUGGGGUAGUGGCUUACCAAGGCUUUGACGGGUAGCCGGCCUGAGAGGGUGACCGGCCACAUUGGGACUGAGAUACGGCCCGGACUCCUACGGGAGGCAGCAGUGGGGAAUAUUGCACAAUGGGCGGAAGCCUGAUGCAGCAACGCCGCGUGCUGGAUGACGGCCUUCGGGUUGUAAACCGCUUUCGCCUGUGACGAAGCGUGAGUGACGGUAAUGGGUAAAGAAGCACCGGCUAACUACGUG